GAUGAACGCUGGCGGCGUGCCUAAUACAUGCAAGUCGAGCGAACGGACGAGAAGCUUGCUUCUCUGAUGUUAGCGGCGGACGGGUGAGUAACACGUGGAUAACCUACCUAUAAGACUGGGAUAACUUCGGGAAACCGUAGCUAAUACCGGAUAAUAUUUUGAACCGCAUGGUUCAAAGGUGAAAGACGGUCUUGCUGUCACUUAUAGAUGGAUCCGCGCUGCAUUAGCUAGUUGGUAAGGUAACGGCUUACCAAGGCAACGAUGCAUAGCCGACCUGAGAGGGUGAUCGGCCACACUGGAACUGAGACACGGUCCAGACUCCUACGGGAGGCAGCAGUAGGGAAUCUUCCGCAAUGGGCGAAAGCCUGACGGAGCAACGCCGCGUGAGUGAUGAAGGUCUUCGGAUCGUAAAACUCUGUUAUUAGGGAAGAACAUAUGUGUAAGUAACUGUGCACAUCUUGGCGGUACCUAAUCAGAAAGCCACGGCUAACUACGUG
rnacentral:rRNA from 1 species